UACGUAGGGGGCAAGCGUUGUCCGGAAUUAUUGGGCGUAAAGAGCGUGUAGGCGGUCCGGUAAGUCGGCUGUGAAAGUCCAGGGCUCAACCCUGGGGAUGCCGGUCGAUACUGCCGGACUAGAGUUCGGAAGAGGCGAGUGGAAUUCCCGGUGUAGCGGUGAAAUGCGCAGAUAUCGGGAGGAACACCUAUGGCGAAGGCAGCUCGCUGGGACGUUACUGACGCUGAGACGCGAAAAGCGUGGGGGAGCAAACAGG
rnacentral:rRNA from 1 species